rnacentral:rRNA from 1 species
UACGAAGGGGGCUAGCGUUGUUCGGAAUUACUGGGCGUAAAGCGCACGUAGGCGGAUAUUUAAGUCAGGGGUGAAAUCCCGGGGCUCAACCCCGGAACUGCCUUUGAUACUGGAUAUCUAGAGGCCGAGAGAGGUGAGUGGAACUCCUAGUGUAGAGGUGGAAUUCGUAGAUAUUAGGAAGAACACCAGUGGCGAAGGCGGCUCACUGGCUCGGUACUGACGCUGAGGUGCGAAAGCGUGGGGAGCAAAC